AACGAACGCUGGCGGCAUGCCUAACACAUGCAAGUCGAACGAGACCUUCGGGUCUAGUGGCGCACGGGUGCGUAACGCGUGGGAACCUGCCUUUAGGUUCGGAAUAACAGUGAGAAAUUACUGCUAAUACCGGAUGAUGUCUUCGGACCAAAGAUUUAUCGCCUUUAGAUGGGCCCGCGUUGGAUUAGCUAGUUGGUGGGGUAAAGGCCUACCAAGGCGACGAUCCAUAGCUGGUUUGAGAGGAUGAUCAGCCACACUGGGACUGAGACACGGCCCAGACUCCUACGGGAGGCAGCAGUGGAGAAUCUUAGACAAUGGGGGCAACCCUGAUCUAGCCAUGCCGCGUGAGUGAUGAAGGCCCUAGGGUUGUAAAGCUCUUUUAGCAGGGAAGAAGCGAAAGUGACGGUACCUGCAGAAAAAGCACCGGCUAACUACGUG
rnacentral:rRNA from 1 species